GCCGGGGUACCCUAGUCUGGUAGGGGGCAGUUUGGAAGCCUGUGCCCGCAAGGGCUCGUGGGUUCAAAUCCCACCCCCGGCG
rnacentral:tRNA from 1 species